rnacentral:rRNA from 1 species
GAUGAACGCUGGCUACAGGCUUAACACAUGCAAGUCGAGGGGAAACGACGGGGAAGCUUGCUUCCCCGGGCGUCGACCGGCGCACGGGUGAGUAACGCGUAUCCAACCUGCCUCUGACUGAGGGAUAACCCGUCGAAAGUCGGCCUAAUACCUCAUGGUAUCGUCUGCGGGCAUCCAACGACGAUUAAAGAUUUCAUCGGUCAGGGAUGGGGAAGCGUCUGAUUAGCUUGUUGGCGGGGUAACGGCCCACCAAGGCUAUGAUCAGUAGGGGUUCUGAGAGGAAGGUCCCCCACAUUGGAACUGAGACACGGUCCAAACUCCUACGGGAGGCAGCAGUGAGGAAUAUUGGUCAAUGGGCGAGAGCCUGAACCAGCCAAGUAGCGUGCAGGAAGACGGCCCUAUGGGUUGUAAACUGCUUUUAUGCGGGGAUAAAGUGAGGGACGUGUCCCUCAUUGCAGGUACCGCAUGAAUAAGGACCGGCUAAGUCCGUG